UAAGGGCGCACGGUGGAUGCCUUGGCACUAGAAGCCGAUGAAGGACGUUACUAACGACGAUAUGCUUUGGGGAGCUGUAAGUAAGCUUUGAUCCAGAGAUUUCCGAAUGGGGAAACCCAGCAUGAGUUAUGUCAUGUUAUCGAUAUGUGAAUACAUAGCAUAUCAGAAGGCACACCCGGAGAACUGAAACAUCUUAGUACCCGGAGGAAGAGAAAGAAAAUUCGAUUCCCUUAGUAGCGGCGAGCGAAACGGGAAGAGCCCAAACCAACAAGCUUGCUUGUUGGGGUUGUAGGACACUCUAUACGGAGUUACAAAGGACGACAUUAGACGAAUCAUCUGGAAAGAUGAAUCAAAGAAGGUAAUAAUCCUGUAGUCGAAAAUGUUGUCUCUCUUGAGUGGAUCCUGAGUACGACGGAGCACGUGAAAUUCCGUCGGAAUCUGGGAGGACCAU
rnacentral:rRNA from 1 species